GUCAUCGCGAGGUGGGGUCCGGAGGAAGCCCAAUCCAAAGCGGCGGGGCGACGAACAGGAACCCGAUACGAGGUGUGGUACAUCCGGGGCGAGCGGGCACGCGCAAAAACCGGGACAGACUUAUUUUGUGCAUACUGGUUUUUGCCGUGGGCUGGCUUUGUC
rfam:Marinobacter salinus strain Hb8 chromosome, complete genome.